GACGAACGCUGGCGGCGUGCUUAACACAUGCAAGUCGAACGGUAAGGCCUGUCGGGGUACACGAGUGGCGAACGGGUGAGUAACACGUGGGUGAUCUGCCCUGCACUUCGGGAUAAGCCCGGGAAACUGGGUCUAAUACCGGCUAGGACGGCGCGGUGCAUGCCGUGUGGUGGGAAGAUUUAUCGGUGCAGGAUGGGCCCGCGGCCUAUCAGCUUGUUGGUGGGGUAAUGGCCUACCAAGGCGACGACUGGUAGCCGGCCUGAGAGGGCGACCGGCCACACUGGGACUGAGACACGGCCCAGACUCCUACGGGAGGCAGCAGUGGGGAAUAUUGCACAAUGGGCGCAAGCCUGAUGCAGCGACGCCGCGUGAGGGAUGACGGCCUUCGGGUUGUAAACCUCUUUCAGCAGGGACGAAGCGUGAGUGACGGUACCUGCAGAAGAAGCACCGGCCAACUACGUG
rnacentral:rRNA from 1 species